rnacentral:rRNA from 1 species
CACGUAGGGUGCGAGCGUUGUCCGGAAUUAUUGGGCGUAAAGAGCUCGUAGGCGGUGUGUCGCGUCGGCCGUGAAAACCUGCAGCUUAACUGUGGGCUUGCGGUCGAUACGGGCAGGCUCGAGUUCGGUAGGGGAGACUGGAAUUCCUGGUGUAGCGGUGAAAUGCGCAGAUAUCAGGAGGAACACCGGUGGCGAAGGCGGGUCUCUGGGCAGUAACUGACGCUGAGGAGCGAAAGCGUGGGGAGCGAACAGG